rnacentral:rRNA from 1 species
UUGAACGCUGGCGGAAUGCUUUACACAUGCAAGUCGGGCGGCAGCGCGGGGGCAACCCUGGCGGCGAGCGGCGAACGGGUGAGUAACAUAUCGGAACGUACCCAGACGUGGGGGACAACUAGUCGAAAGACUAGCUAAUACCGCAUACGUCCUGAGGGAGAAAGCGGGGGAUCGCAAGACCUCGCGCGUUUGAAUCGGCCGAUAUCUGAUUAGCUAGAUGGUGGGGUAAAGGCCCACCAUGGCGACGAUCAGUAGCUGGUCUGAGAGGAUGAUCAGCCACACUGGAACUGGGACACGGUCCAGACUCCUACGGGGGGCAGCAGUGGGGAAUUUUGGACAAUGGGGGAAACCCUGAUCCAGCCAUUCCGCGUGAGUGAAGAAGGCCUUCGGGUUGUAAAGCUCUUUCGGCAGGGACGAAACGGCGGAAUCUAAUACAUUCCACUAAUGACGGUACCUGAAGAAGAAGCACCGGCUAACUACGU